GCUCAGUUGGUUAAAUGCCAGACUUCAACUCAGGUCAUGAUCUCACGGUUGUGGGUUUGAGCCCCACACUGGGCU
rnacentral:tRNA from 1 species